UGCCUACGUCACUCGUACGACAAAGUCAAGUUCGACAGUUGUUUGUGGUUAUAUUUCCGUAUAUUUUUGUGGAAUUUUCUUAUAAUAUCGUUUAUUUGUUUAAUAUUUGUUGAGUUUUUAAGCAUAUAAGGACAAUAUUACUAUAAUUACUUAGUUGGGUCCUAUACAAUGGCAGUAAUGACUUGUGACGUGUGUUUUCGUAACCGUGUAAAAUGAGUGGUGGUAACAUUUAUAGCAUAGCUAUAUGUAAAAGCAACUCCAAAAUUCCUGAACCAGAUGGAAACAAAAUAAUGUUUUUGGACAUUGCCCAAAUACCUUAACAUUAUCAAACAAUAAUGGAUAAUAAAAUGUUACAAGAUAAAUGGGCCUCUAAACAUAAGAAAAUAGGUAGCAAACAUUUCCUCGUGUCUGAAUAUGUUAAUAUUAUGUUACGUCUUUUUUAUAUUUUAAGCUAAUAAUAAAUUAUUUAUAUUAUU